GCAGAUGGUAUUAAGAAACAGGGCAUCUGUGUCUCCCUGUGGAAAAACCCAGGUUCUUCUGGAACUGUGGGCUCCUUGUGUUGCUGUCAUGUAAUCAAGAAGCUAGAGCAUCUGCCCAUUGUCACAUUUCUAAUGUUGAAGUGGAGAUAUGAGGAUUUUGAAAGUUCCCAGUUGGAUGCCUCUAAAGGAAGUGAGGGCUCUUUCAAUGGAUCACUGUAUGUACCCUGCUCUGGAAGCCACAGCUCUAGGACCUCCAAUUCACCAUCUGCCAAACCAGGAAGGAGACUGCACUCCUCUGUUUACAGCAUUGAGCGUACACUUCCAAGACUCAGCCUUGAGCCAGCUGACCAGAGCCUCUUCUCUGAAGCUUGCCUGCAUUGCCUCACAUCUAUUAUAAAGAGCCCACCUAAAAGAAUGGUAACCAGCACACACUGCCCAACACUUUCUCUUAUUUAAGUGGCACUGGAUCUUAAGAGAAGGGAGGAGACGGAGGGAGAGGCUCUGAGAUCCUAUCUCAAUUUAAGCUUGGGGAUUGCAAAGAACAUCUACUUAACACUCACUACCAACCCACUGACAAAAAUGCAAGAAAAUAGAACCCCAUGCAUCUAAAACUCACAAAAUUCUAGCUUCUGCUUUCUAGCAACAAUAGGUUUAGUAAUAUUUUCACCUUUCCUCUCCUGUGGUUUCUUAGGGAAGUAGUGAGAGUGUCUAUGUAUCUAAGUGCCAAGCAAAAUGUCUUCCCCUCCGCAGACCACACUCUGGCUGUCACAGCUGGUCACACAACACUCUCCUCUGGCUCAAAUCCCAGCCCUCAAGGACUAUGACUAGACUACUUCCUAGGACACUUGACUGACUUAUUUUUUCACCCUAGCCAAGUCCUUUGAAGCAAUUAAUUUUUAUUAAGUGGGGUAGCAAAAUGCUCACCUGAACAGGAGGAAUGAUUUGGGAAGCUCUGCUACUGAAUUGCUUCCACGAAGACA